rnacentral:rRNA from 1 species
CUACGGGGGGCAGCAGUGGGGAAUAUUGGACAAUGGGCGAAAGCCUGAUCCAGCCAUGCCGCGUGGAUGAAGAAGGCCCUAGGGUUGUAAAGUCCUUUCGGUGGUGAAGAUAAUGACGGUAACCACAGAAGAAGCCCCGGCUAAUUUCGUGCCAGCAGCCGCGGUAAUACGAAAGGGGCUAGCGUUGUUCGGAAUUACUGGGCGUAAAGCGCACGUAGGCGGCCUUGUAAGUUGGGGGUGAAAUCCCGGAGCUCAACUCCGGAACUGCCUUCAAAACUACAAAGCUAGAGGAUGUGAGAGGAUAGUGGAAUUCCGAGUGUAGAGGUGAAAUUCGUAGAUAUUCGGAAGAACACCGGUGACGAAGGCGACUGUCUGGCACAUUUCUGACGCUGAGGUGCGAAAGCGUGGGGAGCAAACAGGAUUAGAUACCCUAGUAGUC